rnacentral:snRNA from 1 species
UGCUGUGAAGGCAGUCUGGCUGCUACAACUGUCACCCCAUUGGUUGCCAGGAUUGAUUCAGCUGAUCUGGCUGGCUAGGCGGUGUCUCCUUCCCUCACCGCUCCGUGAGCGAACCUCCCUAAGGUUCAUGCUUCCUCAAUCGAAGAGGAGGACCUUCCCUGAAAAGAGAAGGACAGGUCUUCGGUCAAGCGCACACGAGUAGCUGCCUCCCCUGCUAGAACCGCCGAACAAGUUCAAGAACAAAUUUUAUCAUGAAGUCAAUAGUGAGAAAAAAAAUUAAAAAAGAUCUAGUUUUCCCAGUUUAAUUU